AACGAACGCUGGCGGCAUGCCUAACACAUGCAAGUCGAACGAGACCUUCGGGUCUAGUGGCGCACGGGUGCGUAACGCGUGGGAACCUGCCCUUAGGUUCGGAAUAACUCCCCGAAAGGGGUGCUAAUACCGGAUAAUGUCUUCGGACCAAAGAUUUAUCGCCUUUGGAUGGGCCCGCGUUGGAUUAGCUAGUUGGUAGGGUAAAAGCCUACCAAGGCGACGAUCCAUAGCUGGUCUGAGAGGAUGAUCAGCCACACUGGGACUGAGACACGGCCCAGACAGCGAGGGGAGGCAGAGGUGGGGAGUGGAGGGCAAGGGGAGAAAGCCGGAUGAAGCAAGGCGGCGGGGGUGAUGACGGCCUGAGGGUGGUAAAGUUCUUUUACCGGGGAGAAUAAUUAAAGUAGGGGGAGAAUAAGCUCCGGCUACCCCCGCACCAGCGGCCGCGGGAAUGAUCGAAGCGAACACGUCCGAAC
rnacentral:rRNA from 1 species